rnacentral:pre_miRNA from 1 species
GUUGUCAGCAGUUGGGGGGUGAGAACGGCUCCAUGCAGGAGGUGACUGCUAAAUUCUCCAGCUCCUAGAUGGUGCCUUUCUUCAUCCCCUCCAA